UUCACUUUCUCUACAAGUUUCUCAAAUUUCUAACCCUAUUUUCUCUCCCUCGCGACUCCUCUUUCGACUUGUGAACUCUUCAAUGGCGAAUCGACCUCUUCUUUACUCUUUUCUGUUUCUCUACAUCUCUCUGAAGCUUUGCUGUAAGAAUUCUGUUUGUCUCGGACGACCUGUCGCAGGUUCUUCUUCAUGGUUUAAGCGAAAUUUCAAUGGCGACUCCAUCUCUUCUUUACUAUUUGCUGUUUGUCUACAACCUUUAAAUCUCUCUGAAGCUUUGCUGAAGAUUUCUGUUUGUCUCCGACGACCUGCGCAGGUUUGUUGAAGAUUUCUGCUUGUGUCGGACGACCUGCGCAGGUACUUCUUCAUCCUUUAAGCGAAAUUUCAAUGGCGAAUCCAUCUGUUCUUUACUGUUUUGUGUUUCUCUACAGCCUUUAAAUCUGUUUCUGAAGCUUUGCUGAAGAUUUCUGUUUCUGUCGGACUAAUGAAUUUUGAUUAUUGUGAUAUUGCAACUCAUCAAUUAAAAAACUUCCAGAAGCUCAGAUAAAUAAGUAUAGAUUAAUUAGUUUGAUUAACGCAUUAACCUUGUAAAAGAAAUUCUUAACUUUGGUUGAAGCAUCAUGGAAAAACAGUAAUGUACCUGAGCAAGUGUUCCAAUUCAUAAAGAUGGUGGAUAGCUAUUUUGUGUUCCUACUUGUGCGUUGAUAGUUGAACACCCUGCAGUCGGAAGUGACAUACUAUGUUAAGGAUAUUUGGAUCAAUUUGGUGCAUGCAAAACGUAUAACUGCUUCAUGAGUAACUUCGACACAUAUAAGAUACUAUUUCUUAUGAUGCAAAUACGCAUGAUUGUGUAUCAUGUCAUCUGAGGCUCCAGUGUCUACAAUCCAUUUCAAGCAGGAAUAGGAUUACCUGCUAGAUUUGCACUACUUUGAGAAUCUAAAAGCUCCUUAUGUCCUUGCAAUAUAACACGCAUCUUUUGAAUUUGUUCAGGUCUUCAUGAAACAAGGGAUAAUAAUAUGCUAUAUUCUUUUCAAUAAUCAAAAUCUAACGAUGACAUUUUAAUAGCCAUCAUUAUUAGACGAAUUGUUCAUUGAGCAGAAGAAUGUUGUUAUGAUAUAUCAUAUAAUAGUUUAAACUGCAUGGUCUGCUUGAUAGUGUAUUUCAAUAGUUUAAAACGCAGGGGAGCUGACACCUUCUCAACUCUGUGCUUUUUGGUAGAUAAAGAAAGUAUGUUAAUUUAUGUAUCUAAAUUGUAGGAUAAUUCUGCUGAUAUAAAGGAAUCAUCAUUUGUCAUUUAAUAUGGUUUUUUCCAUUUUAAAAUUUUUGAGCAAGGCAUCCUGUAAGGGGCAGCAGUCUUCACUCAAAAGGAUACAAACACUCAGUUAUAAGUGAGAUAAACUCCCUAAAGGUUUCCCUUGAUGACCAGUUCAAGAUAAAGGAUUUAGGAAAACUACAUUACUUCUUGGGGCUAGAAAUACUCUACUAUUUUUUUUGACUGCUUCAAAUCUGCUUCUGGAAAUGUUGCCAGCUCAAAAAGAGACAUUACUAUUACAAAAGCGCACAAGAGGCCUCGAGUCAAGAAGACGUCUUCUACAAGUUCCUCUCAUGAUAAGAGAGCCUUAUGUUACGUCAACAAAAGGAUCCUGAUGAACCUAUAGUGAAGGUAAAAACACGUGUAAUGAGACCUGUAGUUGCCGAUCCCUUUAGGAAAGGUGUUAAACAAGGUCCUAAGCACAUGGCAAAUCUGAAGUGUCUACUUCCACGAAAGAUUUCCCAAAAUCGCCUCAGGACAAUUUUAGAAAAUUCUUAGGUGCAUAGGAGAAGGCCGUGACAGCUCUGCCGCCCUUGAAUGUGGUCAUCAUACAAUUGGCUGCAAAAGCUACUUUAUUCAAUUCAAAUGUCAAGAAAGACGUGUCAAUAGCACAGGAUGAGAUUUUUCGCCUGCUGCAGUGUGUCAUCAAAUUCAAAGGCUUACUAUCACUGCAAUUACUUCAGUACUUAGGACAUGGAAGGUAGCACUUAACACCUGCUGCAAAUUUUGCCAACCAGCAAACACCAUCUCCACACCUCUGCUCUCUCUUCCUCUUCUCUUGUCGUCGGCCUUGCACUUUGGUGGAGUUCACGCUUGCGUCCUAUUUCCGGACGAAAAUUCUGCUUAUGCAACUUUAGCUAGAGUGAUGGUAGAUUUGUGAUUAUAGUCUGUAUUGGUGAUGCUUUGUCUUACUGUAGAUGUCGGAGCAGUAAAUUAUGCUCAAACCUAGGCCUUUCUACAACUACUGCAACGCCGGAACCCAAAAGUUCAAGUCUGAAACGUCAAUGAUGACGAUGUGUUUACAGAUGAAACAUUUGAUUUAUCUAUCAAAUCUUUUCGGUCACUUGGUAUCUGAAAUAGGACGCCAGAGUUGGACUAGGAAGCAACUGCCUAGCCAUGUGACAUCUUCGACUUUACCCGUUGGAGUCAAUUGUGGAGUGUAAAUUUCAAAAUUCAGACUCAAAAUUUAACUACUCAUACAUCAUCUCAAUUUAGAUGACACUAAAAUACAAAUCGUCUCAGUUGGCUCUCAUUAAUUUAUCAUGUGAACUCUUCACUAUUCACUUUCUCCAGAAAAAUUCAAUUGUCUCCAAAUGAACAUAUAAAAUUUGGAGCUCAAGGGAAAAACUGUGAGAGGGCUGCAAUGAAGCUCCUUGAUAGUGCUGCGCGAGACACAAAUUGCUAGACAGUCUGUUCAAAAUAAACAUUUCAACUGGAAUCUUGAGGAGUAAAACAUUGUUGCUCCAAUCGGAAAGUUAGAUUUCACCUCUACCAUCAACAAUAUAAUCCACAACAACUUUACGGCAGUCCCAGACCAUAGUAGAGAACAAAUUGACAUUGUGAAGCCUCUGUUGCUGACUUGAUGCCUGAGUUCUUAAAAAAAAAAACAGAGAAGCCUCAUCUUAUUCACAGAAAUGUGAAUAAUAAUGGCAAUGGUGCACAUGAGAUCAGACAACAACUUGCAAUUGGAGCUCUUAUCAAACUCUGCAAGUCCUUUUGCCAAGAUUAAUGACUUUUGACGACCAACAAAUGGCAUUGGGUUGCAAGUACGUACACAUUUUCUCCUCUUCUAAGAUACUACUGUUUGGUUAAAUAUAUUUCGUACAAACAUGGUACUAAGAUUGAACAUUGACCGAAUAGAAUUAGCAACACGAGAUUGGAUUUGCAAAGUUCAAAUUGUGGAAAUCGGGCGCCCGCGAGAAAGUCUUAACAAGAAAUGUAGAUUCCAAACUUUCAUUUUGGAAGAUGAAGAGAUAUACUGGCAAUCGUUGUUCAUUGUGGUCCUCAAAAAUAGGCAGGUCGCACUCAUCAUAAGUGUCGAGAAAUAACCAUUUGUGACAAUCAGAAAAAUCAGUUUCUCCUCACUCUAUGGGACGAUUCCGAAGAAAUCAAAGGAAAUGAAAUUGAAGAUAAAAUGGAAACAGCAACAGAUUUAAUUGUAAUCCUCGGAAGGAGUAUAGGAAUCUCUACUUAUCAGGGGUUGUCACUGCAAAGUAGGUUCAAUUCCACAAUACGUUUGGAUCCUAAUUACCCACAGGCAAUAGAACUCAUCAACUGGGCAAAAGCAAACAAAACAAUGUUGUUACGUCGUACGUCAAACAAAACCUCAACAAGCUCAUCUGCCCCUCCCAUGGUAGUAACUCCUGCCGGACAACAAGUUAUCUCUAUUGCACAAAUGUCAUCAGCAGCUUCUAUGGGACUCUUUUAUGUUGAGGCAGAAAUGGCCAUAUCAAAUGAAUUCCAAGAGUUUUGUGUGCUUGAAUGCUCAGGAUGCAAACAGAAGAAGCGCACAAAGGAUAGAAAGGAUUUUCAAUGUCCAAAAUGCAAUCGGAAAUCAGCAUUAGUGCCUCGCUGUGUCUUUCAAAUUGAUCUUACUCAUGGUACUGCUACAACCACAUCAUCUAUAUCUGGUGAAUUGGGAGAAAAAUUACUCUCUAUGACAGCGGAAGACAUAUUUGACAUAACUUUGCGCUAAGGAACUCCCUCGCACCAUUUUGUCACUUUUGCUUAUGCUAGGGACAAUAUAAUGACUAACUCUCCCUGUGCUCUGGUUUUUUGCAUCAGGAAGGUUACCUAUGGACAAGCAAACUGCAGUGUCCUCUAAAUAUGCUAGACAAUGACAUGCUAAUCUUAUAUACCAAAACUGCAACAUGUACUAUAUUAUUUUGGUUAUAUUACAUUAGUUAGUAUAUGCAAAUCGUUCAAGUCGACAUCGUACUUAUGUCUAUUGUACAUAUUCUGAAUAUUUCUAAUAGUACAUAAUAUAAUAGAUCAUAUUAUCUAUCUU